AAUAGAUACCCGGGUAGUCCACGCCGUAAACGAUGAGUACUAGCUGUCGGAGGUUACCCCCUUCGGUGGCGCAGCUAACGCAUUAAGUACUCCGCCUGGGAAGUACGCUCGCAAGAGUGAAACUCAAAGGAAUUGACAGGGGACCCGCACAAGUAGCGGAGCAUGUGGUUUAAUUCGAAGCAACGCGAAGAACCUUACCUAAGCUUGACAUCCUUCUGACCUCUCCCUAAUCGGAGAUUUCCCUUCGGGGACAGAAGUGACAGGUGGUGCAUGGUUGUCGUCAGCUCGUGUCGUGAGAUGUUGGGUUAAGUCCCGCAACGAGCGCAACCCUUGCCUUUAGUUGCCAGCAUUAAGUUGGGCACUCUAGAGGGACUGCCAGGGAUAACCUGGAGGAAGGUGGGGAUGACGUCAAAUCAUCAUGCCCCUUAUGCUUAGGGCUACACACGUGCUACAAUGGGUGGUACAGAGGGCAGCCAAGUCGUGAGGCGGAGCUAAUCCCUUAAAGCCAUUCUCAGUUCGGAUUGUAGGCUGAAACUCG
rnacentral:rRNA from 1 species